GAUUGCCUUCACUUCACGGAAGCUAUAAAAGGCCCUAGAAACAUAUCCAUUCUGCCUCUUUCCUGCUCAAACCUCUGGACUAUGGACUUACUCUAAUGGAAGUUAUUCUAACCAAGAGACUGAAGACUUCCCAGUGAUUUGGAAGCAACCAGAGCAACCAGUUUAUUCUACCACGGCUACAAUCCUGAACCAAGAACUUUCAAUAAUUAUAUUCCCGAUGCUUCAGAAAUGAAAUCAACAUCUCCCUCUCCUGCCUUCUCCCUCCAUCCCUCUUUGUUGUGACUACAAUCGAGAGAGCAUCUUUCACAGCCCUGGAUGUUCAGCAAACAAUCCAUAGCAUGGAAAGCAGGACUGAAGCCCUAGCCCAGACUAAGUCAAAGGAUGUAUUCUGAUUCUUACCAUUUCACAGAUGAAAUGGGCUUGUGCAGCUGGGUGCUAGUUUUAUGGCGUGAGACAUUAACUGCAUUGAACCCAGGGCUGGAUUGAGACCUUUAGAGGCCCUAAGCACUGAAAAGAUUAUGGUGCCCCCAAUAUGUAAU